CGGACUGUAAAUCCGUUGGCAAGGGGACGGACUGUAAACCAGCGUUGGCAAUAUGCCUACGCUGGUUCAAAUCCAGCUCGACCCA
rnacentral:tRNA from 1 species